rnacentral:rRNA from 1 species
AUUGAACGCUGGCGGCAUGCUUUACACAUGCAAGUCGAACGGUAACAGGCCUUCGGGUGCUGACGAGUGGCGAACGGGUGAGUAAUGCAUCGGAACGUACCCAGAGGUGGGGGAUAACGCAGCGAAAGCUGUGCUAAUACUGCAUGUGAUCUGAGGAUGAAAGCGGGGGACCGCGCAGCAAUGUUUGGCCUCGCGCCUUUGGAGCGGCCGAUGUCGGAUUAGCUAGUUGGUGGGGUAAAGGCCUACCAAGGCGACGAUCCGUAGCUGGUCUGAGAGGACGACCAGCCAGACUGGGACUGAGACACGGCCCAGACUCCUACGGGAGGCAGCAGUGGGGAAUUUUGGCGAAUGGGCGCAAGCCUGAUCCAGCAAUGCCGCGUGCGGGAAGAAGGCCUUCGGGUUGUAAACCGCUUUUGGCAGGAACGAAACGGUGUCCGCUAAUACCGGGCGCUAAUGACGGUACCUGCAGAAUAAGCACCGGCUAACUACGUG